AUUUUCUUGCAUUUCUAUGUAUAUUGUCUCAAAAGAAGAAGGAUAAGUGUUAUAAGCGCAGUCGCGGUAAAGGUGGUGUUGGAGCUAGCUGUGGAAAUUAAUUGAAAAGUGGAUCAACAUGGAACUCAAGCGAAAGCGAGAAAAUUCACUCGUGUGGCAGCAUUUUCAAAAAACUGGAAAUCAGAGUGCAACUUGCAAGCGGUGCUGUAAGAUAUAUAAAACGUGUGGGAACACAUCUACCCUGCUCGAUCAUCUGAAACGGG